rnacentral:lncRNA from 1 species
AUAAAAAAACAAGUGAAACUGCGAGCUACUGCUCACUGAUGAUACCCCCGCCGCAAGUGGAUAAUAUUAAUAGUGUAAAAAUUUGCAAGUGUUCGGUAAACAGGAAGUUGUCAAGUGAUGAAUCUGAAAACGCAUCACACGGUAUAGCUGACUUAUAUAAAUCCUGAAACCAAAUUUCAGAAAUCCUUGUAUUGUAGUUCCUGAGAAAAAUGUGACGAAAAUUUUCAACUUGGCUAUCAUGUGUAAAAUCAUACAAGUGUUCGGUAAACAGGAAGUUGUCGAGUGAUGAAUCUGAAAACGCAUCACACGGUAUAGCUGACUUAUAUAAAUCCUGAAACCAAAUUUCAGAAAUCCUUGUAUUGUAGUUGCUGAGAAAAAUGUGACGAAAAUUUUCAACUUGGC